UACGUAGGGUGCAAGCGUUGUCCGGAAUUAUUGGGCGUAAAGAGCUCGUAGGCGGUUUGUCGCGUCGGCUGUGAAAAUCCGGAGCUCAACUCCGGACCUGCAGUCGAUACGGGCAGACUAGAGUGCUGUAGGGGAGACUGGAAUUCCUGGUGUAGCGGUGAAAUGCGCAGAUAUCAGGAGGAACACCGGUGGCGAAGGCGGGUCUCUGGGCAGUAACUGACGCUGAGGAGCGAAAGCGUGGGGAGCGAACAGG
rnacentral:rRNA from 1 species